rnacentral:misc_RNA from 1 species
AAGGAGCAUCUAGCUGCCGCAAGGCAGCCAGGGCCACAACGUCGGCGAACGUUCGACGGUGGUUGCUCAUGGGUGGAACGUUGAUUAUUCGGCCGGUUCGUCGGGCCGGAGGCUGUGAGUACUACCCCUUGUGGGUGUGGAAAGCAUGAUCUCCGGACGAGAGACCGGUCGGGCACGCUGUUGGGUGUCUGAGGGUAUGGCCGUACGGCUGCCUUCAGUGCCGACCCCGGUAAAAAUUCGCGUGAAGCGGGUUGUGACGGGUGGUUGGUCGUUGUUUGAGAACUGCACAGUGGACGCGAGCAUCUGU